rnacentral:rRNA from 1 species
AACGAACGCUGGCGGCAUGCCUAACACAUGCAAGUCGAACGAGACCUUCGGGUCUAGUGGCGCACGGGUGCGUAACGCGUGGGAACCUGCCCUUAUGGUCGGAAUAACUCCCCGAAAGGGGUGCUAAUACCGGAUAAUGUCUUCGGACCAAAGAUUUAUCGCCUUUGGAUGGGCCCGCGUUGGAUUAGCUAGUUGGUAGGGUAAAAGCCUACCAAGGCGACGAUCCAUAGCUGGUCUGAGAGGAUGAUCAGCCACACUGGGACUGAGACACGGCCCAGACUCCUACGGGAGGCAGCAGUGGGGAAUAUUGGAAAAUGGGCGAAAGCAUGAUCCAGCAAUGCCGGGUGAGUGAUGAAGGCAUUAGGGUUGUAAAGCUCUUUUACCCGGGAUGAUAAUGACAGUACCGGGAGAAUAAGCCCCGGCUAACUACGUG